AUGGAGCAAUUGGAGAAGAGGAUGGAUGCUGCUGAACAACAAAUCAAAGAGCCGCGUGAAGAUCUUAAUAGGAUAUUUGACCAGUUGGUUGAGAUGAUAAGAAAGGGUGUCCCCCUGCUACCAAUGAAGGAGUUUCAUCUAAAGAAGAGGAAGAUGUUCAUCAAAGAAGAAGGAGAGGUAAUCUUGGAUCAAGACCGCCACAACAACAUGUUGUUCAACGUGCUUCAAGAAGGCCAAUUUAUGUUGAAGCUUCUGAAGGUGAAGAAUAUGAUGAUGCCCUUAAAAAACCAAAUCUCUACGCAUAUCGGAGAGCACCCAACCCAACCCUACAUAUGCAAGAGAUACAUACAAGGUGAAAGCCGAGAUCCCAAGUUUUAA
rnacentral:rRNA from 1 species